rnacentral:rRNA from 1 species
AGCGUAGACGGUGUGGCAAGUCUGAUGUGAAAGGCAUGGGCUCAACCUGUGGACUGCAUUGGAAACUGUCAUACUUGAGUGCCGGAGGGGUAAGCGGAAUUCCUAGUGUAGCGGUGAGAUGCGUAGAUAUUAGGAGGAACACCAGUGGCGAAGGCGGCCUACUGGGCACCAACUGACGCUGAGGCUCGAAAGUGUGGUAGCAAACA